CAGAUACUCGCCCGACACACAUGUCAGAACAGCGAGGAGCGUCCAUAAGCGUCUCCGCAUUUCAUACACACGAUGUCUGGAAAAUAUAGUUUAUGCUCAAUUUAUGUAAUCACUUGGCUCGCUCCAUCGAUUUAGGUCGAAUAACGUUGUAUGGUGACAUGCAUUCGUGCGCUGAAAUCAUCCGUGUGAGUAUGCGAUGACGCCGUUCACCCCAUUCAUAACAUGAUUAUAAUGUUCAUGAUUUUACGGUCGUGACCCGUAGUGUUUCCUCUGACACGGUGAAUGGAACACGCCAGGUGAUGUUGAUUUUUUUAUACCUUGAUUUUGUGUGGAAAGAUUGUGAAUCACAGAUUUAAAAGGUGAGCAGAUUUAAAAUCGAAGCCUCCUCUUGGAUUUCCGCGAUUCUUGAUGUUAUUUAUUCAUCCAUCAGCGCGC